rnacentral:rRNA from 1 species
AGAGUUUGAUCCUGGCUCAGAACGAACGCUGGUGGCGUGCUUAACACAUGCAAGUCGAACGAGAAAGUUUCCUUCGGGAAAUUAGUAAAGUGGCGCAAGGGUGAGUAUCACGUGAAUAAUCUGCCCUCGAGAUCGGGAUAACAUGGUGAAAACUAUGCUAAUACCGGAUAAGACCACAUUUCAUAAGAAAUGCGGUAAAAGGAGUCUCAAUCUUCACUCGAGGAUGAGUUCGCGCAACAUUAGCUUGUUGGUGAGAUAAAAGCUCACCAAGGCUACGAUGUUUAGCCGGCCUGAGAGGGUGAUCGGCCACACUGGAACUGAGACACGGUCCAGACUCCUACGGGAGGCAGCAGUGGGGAAUAUUGCGCAAUGGGCGAAAGCCUGACGCAGCAACGCCGUGUGAGCGAUGAAGGCUUUAGGGUCGUAAAGCUCUGUCAAAUGGGAAGAAUUUUGACGGUACCAUUAGAGGAAGCCCCGGCUAACUCCGUGCCAGCAGCCGCGGUAAUACGGAGGGGGCAAGCGUUGUUCGGAAUUAUUGGGCGUAAAGCGUAUGUAGGCGGCUAGACAAGUCAGGCGUGCAAGCCCGUGGCUCAACCACGGAAUUGCGUUUGAAACUGUUUAGCUUGAGUACAGGAGAGGAAAG